CAGCCUCCCAAAGUGCUGGGAUUACAGGCGUGAGCCACCGCGCCCAGCCGCCCCACUCUUAAAUGGACGGAUUAUCACAGCUUCCACCAGCCACUUCAUCAAAUAUACAACUAAGAGAGGAUCCUCAUGCCUUGCUCCGUGGCAAGGUUAAAAACAACAACAAAAAAACAAACAGAAAAAGGAAUUACACUACAAAGUCAAAACUGCUGAAUCCACGUUUCUCUGAAAACCAGA
rnacentral:lncRNA from 1 species